rnacentral:lncRNA from 1 species
UAAAAACGCUUGCAAAUUUGAGAUUAUAAUGUAUACCUUUAUGCCACUGACAACAAUAUGACACUUUAAUUGUACAAUCAUCAUUUAUAUAAGCAUAAUCAUAUGGACAAUAACUAUUCCAUCCCGACAAUAUUCAACCAUGCAAACAAAAACUAUCAGGGUUACACAACUCGUCCAUCUGUACAAUAUUCAACCGUGUAACCAUGCAAACAAAAACUACUAGCCAAUCAUACAAGUCAGACCAUGACCAUCGCACAAGAAUAAACAGAUCUAGUUCUGAUCAUGGAAGAUGCACAAGUCAUUCGCCAUCCUUAUCCUCUUCUCCAUUCAGAUCCAUGUCCACUUCUUGGUCUUCUUAAUUACAAAUUUACAAGUGCAGAUAGUUGACUGAAUUACCACUGCAAAAAAAGUAACAAACUUAUGGUAUUUGACUAAAUUACAAGUGCCGUUAGUUGAUUUGUUUGCUAGUAAACUGAACUCAUUGAUACAAUACAAAAGAAAUUGCAAGCAAACUGAAUUUGCAACUGCCAGUAGCCCAGUACAAAAUAAAAUUACGACUAGACUGAAUUUGUCUACCGUAACUGAAUUUAUAAUUUGCUACCAAUGAGAUUAUGAACUAUUCUACGAUCUGAGCUCCUCCUAAUUUUGUCUACUGUAACUCCAAGUGCUACUGCUACCAUGAGGAAUUUUUUCUAUUAAGUACUGACUACUAGUACUAAGUUAUGCAUCGAAUAGACUAAUUGUAACUCUGUAAGUGCAUCGAUCAGAGAAAAGGCAAGUGCAUCGAAUGGAUUAAGCCUACUACGGUAACUCUAAGUGCAUCGAUCAGAGAAAAGCUGAGCUACCGGAUGUACUAUGGGCGAUUAGUAGAAACAAAGAUCAGAGAAAAGGUUAGCAGCCCGACUAAAGAGGUAGUUGAGCGAGGAGGUGCGGACCUUCUGGAUAGGGACAUCGACGAGUAGGGCGUCAAUCAGGGACCAGAGAGGGGACGUGGGCAUUGAGCUUGAGCGCCGCCGUCCCAGUGAGGUACUGCCCGCUGGCUCGCCGUGUUAUCCCGCACCGGCUUGUCGUCGACCAUGGAAGGGCGUUGAGCAGGAGCGAGGAGGUGGCCGUCGUGCUGGCUGCUCCCUCAAAGACCGGCAGGGGAAGAGGGGGCUAGGGUAGCAGCGGCAUCGGGUGAUGGUGAGCCUGGAUUUGCCUCUCCGUCCGGCCUCCGGCGUU